rnacentral:lncRNA from 1 species
GCCGAAGCACGUGCCAGGAUGUUUUAUUGCCGCCGCGGCUGCGGCCGGGCCGGGAGGAUGUGUGUGUGCGUGCGUGUGUGAGUGUGUGUGCGCGCGCCCCGGGGGCAGGGAGGCGGGGGGCGGCGGCGGGCGGCGGAGCGCGGGGGCUGGUUCCUGGUCCCCGGGAGAAGCCAAGAAGGUCCUGAGUUCAAGAGAAACAGGUGUCUAAACAGAAGUAAAAUCCUGUGGAAGUUUAGGAUAAUUGAAUUACUCGCAAAUUGGAGUAUCCUGGAAAACUUCCUGGAGGAAGUGGCCUGUGCUUUGUAUCAGGAAAAAUAGCCUGGAGUCCAACUAAGGAAUCAUUGUGCUUCUGACCGAAUUUACCUUCCAAGCCUCAUUUCAUCUUCCAGAACAGCCUUCAAGUCUGCAGCCAAACCUGUACCUCAUGGCAGGAUGGAAAAGUGGUGAUGACAGAAAAUUGUCUGUUGCUUUUGGAAAAGAAAGAAAAAAAAAAGUGACGUUUCCCUGUGUUUGACAUCCUCUUCCUUAAAGGUAUCAGAAUGGUGCGUGGGUUUGGUUUGAAGCUAAAGAAAGGAGAAAGAGCCAGAGAAGAAGAAAAAAAGAUUCCCUGCAGCCUGCCAGGGACGUGGUAACUGCCCUGCCAAGAGUGAUCCUGGGAGAGCUAUUGAAAGAGCUCUGAGGCCUCCUUGGCAUAUGGAAGUUCCCAGGCUAGGGGUGGAAUCCGAGCCACAUCCGUGACCUACACCGCAGCUCACGACAACGCUGGAUCAUCAACCCACUGAGUGAGGCCAGAGAUCAAACCCGAGUUUUCCUGCACACCAGUUAGGUUUGUUACCACUGAGCCGCAACAGGAACUCCCAGGAGCUUUAUGAGUGAAUGAAUAAAUGCAUCAUUCCACCCCCACCUCACCGCCGCCACCCCGGGGGAGAGAGUCUACAGCUUUUAGCAGAAUCUCAAAGUUUUUUGUAACGCAGGAAGGUUGAGGAAGCUGAUCCAGGCAAUCUCGAUGUAUAAGUGGGUACUCUAAGGCCCAGAGAGGGCCAGGGACUGGUUCAGGCAACAUAGGGCAGAGUGGGGGCCAGAAGCCAGCUCGGAGUCCUUUGUACCAUUCCCCAGUGCUGUGGAUCUUGGGAAAUUUAGGGUGGGGUUUAUGGAGUUGGGAUCACCGCUAGAACUUGGAUUUAAAAUAGACACUUUAAUAAAGGUCCUUUGAGUCUCC